UUAAAUUGAAGAGUUUGAUCAUGGCUCAGAUUGAACGCUGGCGGCAGGCUUAACACAUGCAAGUCGAACGGUAACAUGAGUGCUUGCACUUGAUGACGAGUGGCGGACGGGGGAGUAAGGUAUGGGGAUCUGCCGAAUGGAGGGGGACAACAGUUGGAAACGACUGCUAAUACCGCAUAAAGUUGAGAGACCAAAGCAUGGGACCUACGGGCCAUGCGCCAUUUGAUGAACCCAUAUGGGAUUAGCUAGUUGGUGGGGUAAUGGCUCACCAAGGCGACGAUCUCUAGCUGGUCUGAGAGGAUGACCAGCCACACUGGAACUGAGACACGGUCCAGACUCCUACGGGAGGCAGCAGUGGGGAAUAUUGCACAAUGGGGGAAACCCUGAUGCAGCCAUGCCGCGUGUAUGAAGAAGGCCUUCGGGUUGUAAAGUACUUUCGGUGAUGAGGAAGG
rnacentral:rRNA from 1 species